AUUGAACGCUGGCGGCAUGCCUUACACAUGCAAGUCGAACGGCAGCACGGGAGCAAUCCUGGUGGCGAGUGGCGAACGGGUGAGUAAUAUAUCGGAACGUGCCCAGUCGUGGGGGAUAACGCAGCGAAAGCUGUGCUAAUACCGCAUACGAUCUCUGGAUGAAAGCGGGGGACUCGCAAGAGCCUCGCGCGAUUGGAGCGGCCGAUAUCAGAUUAGCUAGUUGGUGGGGUAAAAGCCCACCAAGGCGACGAUCUGUAGCUGGUCUGAGAGGACGACCAGCCACACUGGAACUGAGACACGGUCCAGACUCCUACGGGAGGCAGCAGUGGGGAAUUUUGGACAAUGGGCGCAAGCCUGAUCCAGCAAUGCCGCGUGCAGGACGAAGGCCUUCGGUUGGUAAACUGCUUUGUACGGACGAAACGGUACCUUCUAAUAAAGAAGGCUAAUGACGGUACCGUAAGAAUAAGACACCGGCGUAACUAACGUGCCACG
rnacentral:rRNA from 1 species